rnacentral:rRNA from 1 species
GACGAACGCUGGCGGUGUGCUUAACACAUGCAAGUGGUGCGACGAACCAGAGCUUGCUCUGGGGCAAAGCCGCGAACGGGUGAGUAACACGUGGGUAAUCUACCCCGAUGACCGGGACAACCCGAGGAAACUCGGGCUAAUACCGGAUGUGGUGCGGAGACAUAAGUCUCUUCACUAAAGGUAGCUUCGGCUUCCGCAUUGGGAGGGGCCCGCGGCCCAUUAGCUUGUUGGUGGGGUCAAGGCCUACCAAGGCAACGAUGGGUAGCUGGUCUGAGAGGACGAUCAGCCACACUGGGACUGAGACACGGCCCAGACUCCUACGGGAGGCAGCAGUGGGGAAUCUUGCGCAAAGCGCGAAAGCGUGACGCAGCAACACCGCGUGAGGGAAGAAGGCCUUAGGGUUGUAAUCCUCUUUCAGAUGGGACGAAGGUUCUCCGGUGAAUAGCCGAGAGGAUUGACGGUACCGUCAGAAGAAGCUCCGGCUAACUACGUG